rnacentral:rRNA from 1 species
UACGGGGGGGCAAGCGUUGUUCGGAAUUACUGGGCGUAAAGGGCUCGUAGGCGGCCAACUAAGUCGAACGUGAAAUCCCUCAGCUUAACUGGGGAACUGCGUCCGAUACUGAUUGGCUUGAAUCCGGAAGAGGGAUGCGGAAUUCCAGGUGUAGCGGUGAAAUGCGUAGAUAUCUGGAGGAACACCGGUGGCGAAGGCGGCAUCCUGGGUCGGUAUUGACGCUGAGGAGCGAAAGCCAGGGGAGCAAACGGG